GUGUCAGCAGCCGCGGUAAUACGUAGGGGGCAAGCGUUGUUCGGAAUUACUGGGCGUAAAGGGCGCGUAGGCGGCAUGGCAAGUCGGGAGUGAAAGCCCGGGGCUCAACCCCGGAACGGCUUUCGAAACUGCCAAGCUAGAGUACGGAAGGGGCAACUGGAAUUCCCAGUGUAGCGGUGAAAUGCGUAGAUAUUGGGAAGAACACCGGAGGCGAAGGCGGGUUGCUGGGCCGAUACUGACGCUGAGGCGCGAAAGCCAGGGGAGCAAACGGGAUUAGAUACCCCCGUAGUCC
rnacentral:rRNA from 1 species